rnacentral:rRNA from 1 species
AAGUAAGCGGAGGACUAGAAACUAAAAAGGAUUCCCUUAGUAAUGGCGAAUGAACAGGGAUGAGCUCAGCAUGGAAAUCGGGGCCUCCGGCCUUGAAUUGUAGUCUCUAGAUGUAUUGCCAACGGAGGCGCAGAUGCAAGCCUCUUGGAAAAGAGCAUCAAUGAGGGUGAGAGUCCUGUUUGUCAUUUGCAGUCCCCCGUGCACGGUGUACCUUCAAAGAGUCACGUUCCUUGGGAUUGGAGCGCAAAUUGGGUGGUAAAUUUCAUCUAAAGCUAAAUAUUGGUUCGAGACCGAUAGCAAACAAGUACCAUGAGGGAAAGGUGAAAAGGACUUUGAAAAGAGAGUUAAAAGUGCCUGAAAUUGCUGAAAGGGAAGCGAAUGGAAUCAGUUUUUCUUGGCGAGAUUGUUGCGCGCUAAAGUGAUUGCUUGUUGCUCAACGCAAGUGUCGCAGCAAGUUUGGAUCUGGUCGUGCGUGGUGCUUCUUGCCUUGAAUGUCAAUGUCGGUUCAAUGUCGAGGAAAACUCACAGGACAUGGUAAUUCACUUGCGGGUGACUGAAUGUCUUGUGUAGCACUCACUCUUGAACUGAUCGUUGACGAAAUGGUUUUCUUCGACCCGUCUUGAAACACGGACCAAGGAGUCUAACAUAUGUGCAAGUUCACGGGUGGGAAAACCUGCUUGCGCAAUGAAAGUGACUGCUGGGAUUUCUGCACCAGCAACCGACCAAUCGAUUGUGAGAGGUUUGAGUAUGAGCAUAUCUGUUAGGACCCGAAAGAUGGUGAACUAUGCCUGAGAAGGGCGAAGUCAGGGGAAACUCUGAUGGAGGCUCGUAGCGAUACUGACGUGCAAAUCGUUCGUCAUACUUGGGUAUAGGGGCGAAAGACUAAUCGAACCAUCUAG